rnacentral:tRNA from 1 species
GCCUGGGUGGCUGAGUUGGUAAAGCGACUGCCUUCAGCUCAGGUCAUGAUCCCAAGAUCCUGGGAUCGAGCCCCACAUCAGGCU